CCAGCUUUAUUAACACUCAAAGUACCAUUCCUUUAUGUCCAUCCCACAGUUCAGAAGAUUACUGAGUAAGCCUCUGCACCACAAUCUGUCGAAAGAUGAAUAGGAAUGAAGUAUGUUUCACUGCACUGAAUAUCGCAGGCCUUCAUGCAUGACAAAUCUAAAUAAAGAUGUGUCAAUAAUACACAAAUUGCCAUAUAACAAAGUCGUCAUUACUAACAAAAUAUAAACAUGGUUUCUUUUAUAUUAAAAAAUUUAAAAGCUAUUUACCAGCAAGAAAAAAUACAUAGAAAUUAUAAAACUCAAGACAUUUUACACAUCUUUACAAGCACAAUUUUGAAAGAACAACAGACCAAAUGUGUGGAAUGUGGUACACACUACACUGUGUCUGGCUUCUGGGUAGGUGCUACUCACAUGGGUUCCUUUCAACACAAUACACUAGUGAUAGUCAGCUUGAACUGCAGAUUUUAUUCCUAACAGAUAACCUUACGCCACCACAUACUUUUAGGAGACUUCUAUUGAAUACAGUAACACUGUCAGAUGGAAACCUAAUUUCUAGCUCUUUCUGCCAGUUGCUUGGAGAUCCCUACCACACUGGUAAUCCACUGUGAGGAUCACAGAACGCCAAUGCACUGUUUCAUCAACUUGGUCUAACCUUGCUCAGUGAGGGAAAGAUGAAAACUUUGGAAAUAAAGGAAAUAUUCAAAACAAUAGACAACUGGAAAUGUAAAAGUCUCAACAUGUCUUCAAGACGAUUUAGUUGCUCACAUUUUUAACAGCUUUGAGAGGUCAAAGACCUUGUUAGUGGACAAUGUGUUUUGCUUAACAAUCUCCCCCCACCCUACCCCAAAAUGCCGUUAGUUGCAAGAGUAUUUUAACUGAGCUCUAAGCAAAAUUUGUAUCCAAUUCUGGAACUACAAAUGCUCAAAUGGUUAAAACCAAAAUUUAAAAAAUAAUUUGACCAGCCAGCUGAAAAUAUAGUGUAUAUAUAUAGUAAAUAAUCUUUCAGAAAGCCUUUACACAUAUUUAAUUAUCAUAAAGUUCUUAAAAUUGUAGAAAUGAAGUGAAAAUAAGAAUUUACUAAGAUAUAUACAUGUGUCUACACAAAGAAAAGGACAUCACACACACACAUAUCUCUUGAUACACACAGAAUACUUUCAACCUAGGAAUGGAUUCAGAAUACAGGACAAAAUUAGACUGCAACACUGAACUCCUGAGUUCUCCAACAAACGCAGGACCACACACAGGUGACUUUGCAAAAGCAAGAAGGUCAUCCUACUAAGGGUCAUAGCAGCACAGAAACUGAGGGCUACAUCUAGGGAGAAGUGCAAACACAAAGACAGUAGUUCAAUGCACACACUCAUGAUUCUCAGUCACUCAACAAUUAUUGGUCAUAUAAAUCAGUGUACAAAUUAAAUGUUCGAAAAUGUGCAAAAAGUCAACAUUGAUAGAAAACAAAAAAUAUUUGUACAUAAUUAUAAACUGCCCAGUAUUCAACUGAGAUUAAAAACAUUUGCUGAAAAUAAUACAUUAAAUAUAAAGAAUUUAAUGGAUACAUUUUAAAUGUACAUUAAGUCAAAGGGUAAAUUUACAAAUUUAUAAUCAUAGUUUGCAAGAUAAAAGUUUAUUUUCAAAUUUAUCCAAGUUUAUUUACAAUGAGUAAAAACAACCACAUAAAAUAUAAGAGAUGUCAGACAUUAAAGGUGUUUUUGGUAUUAACUUUGUUAAGAUAUUUCAGAAUGCAGGCUAAAUUUUAAAACCAACAGCAAUGGAAGAAAUGUAAACCUUUUACUUACUAAUUAUUAAAAAACUGUCUAUAAAGACGUAUUCUCAUCCCUAGACAAUAUGGUUUUAAUUGACAAGGGUUUGGCCCACUUCCUUUUGCCCAUAAGCCUUUCUGGCUUGUAGAGUCCCACACUAGUCUACUCUCCUUACUGCGAGGAGGAAAAAAGUCUUUGGAUAACUGAGAACAUGUCAAAUAUAUUCUGGAGUCAAUGCAUCUACUAGAGUUUAACAUAUAAUUAAUUACUUAUCUUCUGUUCUAAGUGAUGCUAAUGCUAAAAUCAUUGAAUAUACAGGAUUUUUUUAAGUUCUAAAUACAAAUAAACGAAUACAAAGUGCUUUUCAGAAUAGUCAUAAACUUUUCUCAACUGGCAUUACAAGACCCAUAAAUCCUCAGUGGGGGUCAGAUUCUAUAAGGUUUAAAGAAGAGGGAGCAGAUGUUCCAAAUGUUUGUGGCACAAAGCAGACCAGUUCAUAACCUACUUCUCUUCACAGCAGUGUUGAAAGUCCCUUACGUCAAACACAAACUCAUAAAUGUUAAGACACUAGAAAGACGAUGAGCCACCCACAGAGGCAUCAGACGUCAACACAAAUCUCACACCAGGGGUCAAAGGGUGUGGGUGAGCCUGGCACGCUGAAGAACUUAGGUCUGCAGUGUCUAGGAGCUCCACAGUAGCAAGGAUUCUGCAUGUCUAAUGCAGACUCUUAGCACCUGUCCUUUUCCUUAAGGAGAAGAAGAUUGGCAACAAAGUCUACUAGCAUCUGCUCUACCAUUCAGACACUAUUACCUCACACAUGGGCAAAUGUAUCAGGGCUAAUCAUUUUGGCUAUGUAUGCAGGGAAUACAAAAGCUUUGGUUUAAAGUGAUUCUGGCAACACAGACUGAGGUACAAACAAACAUCACCAGGCAGAAGGACAGGAGUCUUCUCUUGUUUAAUGUCUUUGCUGUUGGGAACAGAAUACCUUACCACUGUCUAUUAAAAUACACAAAAACAUGAAGAAUUCUAUGAGACUGUCUCCAGGCAAUGGAUACAACGCAUUCUCUUUUCACUAUAGCUAUGACUCCUCCCUGGUCUUCCUGAAGCUCAGCCAUGACCACUAUCAGUACCUCUGAGAAAAGAAGUCUUGGUUCCCAUGAAAGCUAUCCAUCUCCAGCUCUGACAGCGAGAAUGGAAAGGAGGAUGGCCCAGGUAUUCCCACAGCACGCACAGCAUCCUGUCAGACAAUGGCAGAAGUGGAAGCAGCACUAAAGAUGAGGGUGAAGUGGACAGUGGCUCACAGCACACCUUCCCCAGCAACCAACAAGAGGUAUAAGAACAUUGCCUUUUGAUGGCUUGGUAAACUAAGGAAGCUUGUUUAGAUAAUGUCUGGCAGAAUUUCUACUCCAAAAAGUUCAUGAAGAAAUAUGUAAGAUUCCAUACUUUCUAUUGAAGAAUUAUAUAUAAGCUAAUUACUACAGACACAAACAAACAAAUUGAAUUUUAACCUACUUUUAGCAAUUCAGAGCUUGGCAACUUACAAUAAAUACCUUUAUUAACAAUCAUUCAUACUAGCUACUUAUGGAAAAUGUCCUGGCAUGACUACUUGAGGAUGACCUUUCUCAUCCCAUAUAGUAAAUCAGACAUUUUUCAGUUGUUCUUCCAAGAGGAGAGACAGAUCUAACUGAACAACUACACGUUCCUACCCCUGCCCCUACUAUACACACACACACACACACACACACACACACACACACACACACACACACACACACUUCACAACUUCACAGAACAGUAAGCUAGAGUAUUGGUCAAAUGUUACAUACUAAGAAUUAGAGUUUGUUGUCCCUGGAUUCUUGCUCAUCGCCUCAACCUUCAUGAAACACUUAUAGGAGCUCUUUAGGACAAAACAACUGCCCUAGUUCUAGGAAAACCACAACCAAACAAUAAUACACAAAGAACUUGAGCAGUGCCAGUAUGACUGAAAAUCAAGUACUCAACCCAAAAAAUCAUUUUACUAUGUCUUUUCGAAUGAGAAUACCUUUCUAUAUUUAUUUAGGAAUUCACAUCUAGUGGAGAUUGCAGUCAGACAAAUGCUACUGCUCUCUCCUAACAUUUUUUAAAAGGAGGUAGACUGGGUAGGAGGAGGAAAUACGCAUUAAGAAACACAUAGGGGCCAACACACAGACCAAGGCCAAAGAAACUCUUGAGGCCUAGCGAUUUUGGAAAAUUCUUUUUUUGUUAGGUAAUCUGAAUUACAAAUAGAAAAUAAAAUUAAGGCAUACAGAGAAAAAGGCACUACUAAAAAUUAACAAAUUGCUUUUCAUUGAACUUUAACCAGUGUUAAAAUCAAAUAAAUAUGAAUGACACAUCUAAAAGUAAAUGCUAAAUUUAAUAGGAUAUCAAAAGAAUCUGACCUUCGCAUAAGUAACACUUGACGAGUUCACCCUCUAGCAAAACUUUUUCAGUAUUUCAACACCUAGAAACCAAAAUAGAGUUUUGGAUAUUUUUUCUUUAAAACAAAAACUUAACAACAGCUGGGGUCAGGGAGAACCCAAUACAGUGUGCUAAGGAAUAGAUGCUCCAUUGUCCCAGAACAAGCUGGGGCUGUGUUGUACAGUGAGAGCAGUUCUGACAGAAAGGCUGUCUGACCUGGGAUAUAGAGAUCCUUUUACUUUAAUCCUCUUGUUAAUAUCUUUGGAGUCCAUACUAGCCAACAACUAUCCAAAAUUCUUAUUUUUCAUAUAAAAGUCCUAGCAUUGGGGUUGGGGAUUUAGCUCAGUGGUAGAGCGCUUGCCUAGCAUGCGCAAGGCCCUGGGUUAGGUCCCCAGCUCCGGAAAAAAAAAAAAAAGUCCUAGCAUUUUAAACAUCACUGCUAAACUUUCAGAACUACGGUAUGCCAUAAAUUAAUUGUCUGCCGUGAUCCUCAAUGGUAAUUUCCUGAUAUAAGGAUAUUAAUUUAAUGUGACACAGUAUAUCACAACUGUUGAGAAAAUAAGAAAGAUUGACCCUAUUUAAAAAAACAAAAAAAAAAACAAAAAAAAAAAAAAAAA
ensembl:lncRNA